AACGAACGCUGGCGGCGGGCCUCAUACAUGCAAGUCGAGCGCGAAAGUCCGCAAGGAUGAGUAAAGCGGCGCACGGGUGAGUAACACGUGGGUAAUCUACCUUUUGGAUUGGAAUAACCUGUCGAAAGACGGGCUAAUGCCGAGUAAGCCUUCUUGAACGUGAAGUUCGAGACGGGAAAGAUGGCGCAAGCUAUCGCCGAAAGAUGAGCCUGCGUCCCAUUAGUUAGUUGGUGGGGUAAUGGCUUACCAAGACAAUGAUGGGUACCUGGUUUGAGAGAAUGAUCAGGCACACUGGAACUGAAACACGGUCCAGACUCCUACGGGAGGCAGCAGUAGGGAAUAUUGCGCAAUGGACGAAAGUCUGACGCAGCCACGCCGCGUGAGUGAGGAAGGCC
rnacentral:rRNA from 1 species